ensembl:lncRNA
AGAAUGGCAGAUAUUCAGAUCAACAGUAUUUUGUCUCUAUCUGCAGGUUUACACACAGUUACUGUCCCUCCACGACGCCAUUUUCUUCACAUCAGUUGCAGGGAAGCAUGCUGCUUAAAGCAAAACUCGGAGGUGUGCAGAAAUUUGUUAGAGUAUCUGAGCCAAGCCUUAAGGAGUUUUUGAUUGCCGCAUUUGCAAAGUUUGGUGCGCCAGCCGUAACAGAAGGAGUGAAAGUUUUUGAUAGUUCAGGGACUGAGUUGGAUGAGGAUGUUUUUGAGGAUAUAGUAACAGAUCCCUCAACCGGGGUACUAACCAUCAAAUAUGAAACAGGUUUGUUUGAGUGAUUUGUGUUUCAUUGGAUGUCUUUUUUUUUUUUUUUGGUGUCAUUAUUACAUUGUUUAAUCAAAGAGUGUAUAAAAUGAGUCUAUGGAGGGACCAUGUAAACUAAUUUGUUUUGCUUCUAUUUUUAAGGUCUGGAAACAUCUGUUGCAGAAGUGUCUCCUGAGCGGUUCCAGUUAUCAUCGCCACAUUCAUCAGAUUCACAGGAUACGGUCAUCCUUUCAGACAGCCCUUUGAGGAAACGUCAGAAGCUGGAUGCAGAAGCUAAGCAAGUAAGAGUUAACAGAUUUCCACAUUCUUCUAAUAGUGUCUUUUUUGUUUGUAGUUUAAGUGUUCUGAACUGUAGUGGUUAUAUCAACAUGUAGAAUGUUUUUAUUGUGUUUUCCAGUUGGUGGAAUCCAUUCUCACAAGCAAACCUGGUGGAGAACGUAUAAUAAAUGAGUACAAUCGGACCAAGUCCCUGGUGGAUGAAACCAGAAGAAAAAUGGUCAACAUACUGGUAGCUGACAUGACAGAAAAAAAUGGUACAUCACCACCACGGCAGGUAAAAGAAAUGUAUGCCAGAGGAAUUGUAACCUUUUUCCCUUACCUCAGUGACCCGUACUCAAAAAAUGGCUAUGAACAUUAUUAUGAUGGCGAGAGUGGCACUGGGUACUUGGCCUGGAGGAUUAAAACCAUACAGAGAUGCACUGCUAAAGAGAGGCGAUUAACAUCUGGAGCACCAGGAGAUGGAUCAUCGGGUGAAGACCAGUGUGGUGGACCAACUGUCAGACAAGAGUUGCAGUUUGUUACAGAGAAGAUGCUGAGUGAGGAUGAGUGCAAGGAAGCAAUCUCUCUGAUGGAACAUUCAGCUGAUGAGGACACAGUCAAGAAGAUGAAGUUGACAUUUGUUUAUCGACACAACAUGGUCCUUGACCUCCUGCUGUCACGCAACAUACUGUCUGUGUUUCCACGUUUCAAAGAUAUCAAAGGCUUG